GCCCGAGUUGUAAUUUGGAGAGUACCACUUUGGGACUGUACUUUGCCUAUGUUCCUUGGAACAGGACGUCAUGGAGGGUGAGAAUCCCGUGUGGCGAGGGUGUCAGUUCUUUGUAAAGGGUGCUCGAAGAGUCGAGUUGUUUGGGAAUGCAGCUCUAAGUGGGUGGUAAAUUCCAUCUAAAGCUAAAUACAGGCGAGAGACCGAUAGCGAACAAGUACAGUGAUGGAAAGAUGAAAAGAACUUUGAAAAGAGAGUGAAAAAGUACGUGAAAUUGUUGAAAGGGAAGGGCAUUUGAUCAGACAUGGUGUUUUGCGCCCCUUGCCUCUCGUGGGCUUGGGACUCUCGCAGCUCACUGGGCCAGCAUCGGUUUUGGCGGCCGGAAAAAACCUAGGGAAUGUGGCUCUGCGCCUCGGUGUAGAGUGUUAUAGCCCUGGGGAAUACGGCCAGCCGGGACCGAGGACUGCGAUACUUGUUAUCUAGGAUGCUGGCAUAAUGGUUAUAUGCCGCCCGUCUUGAAACACGGAC
rnacentral:rRNA from 1 species